rnacentral:rRNA from 1 species
GUGAGGAAUAUUGGACAAUGGGCGCAAGCCUGAUCCAGCCAUGCCGCGUGCAGGAAGACGCAUCUAUGGUGUGUAAACUGCUUUUGUACGGGAAGAAACACUCCCUCGUGAGGGAGCUUGACGGUACCGUAAGAAUAAGGAUCGGCUAACUCCGUGCCAGCAGCCGCGGUAAUACGGAGGAUCCAAGCGUUAUCCGGAAUCAUUGGGUUUAAAGGGUCCGUAGGCGGUUUAAUAAGUCAGUGGUGAAAGUCCAUCGCUCAACGAUGGAACGGCCAUUGAUACUGUUAGACUUGAAUUACAAGGAAGUAACUAGAAUAUGUAGUGUAGCGGUGAAAUGCUUAGAUAUUACAUGGAAUACCAAUUGCGAAGGCAGGUUACUACUUGUGGAUUGACGCUGAUGGACGAAAGCGUGGGGAGCGAACAGGAUUAGAUACCCGUGUAGUCC